GGAGGGAGCGCCCAAUCCUGGGCUGUGUCCCUCAGCGCCCUGGGCUCCGGGGCCUGCACAGCUGGGAUCGUGCUCCUGGGCCGUGCAGCCCCCU
rnacentral:pre_miRNA from 1 species